CUUGUGUUUAGGGUUUCCACUAAUUGAUUAUAAAUCCACAAACAUGUAUUCAUUGCAUUGCAUCUAUGAGAUAACUCCGAGAUCCAUUGUGGAAAAGACAUUGAUUUGAACUGGAAAUAGCCCCUCCGACAAUAUUACUAUUAAGAUCUAUUGUCCAAUUUUGAUAUAGAUAAGAAUAAUGAGAGCAAAUCUAUGUGCUUCUGUCAAUUUAACAUAUUCA
rnacentral:lncRNA from 1 species